GUAUCCAUGGUGUAGUGGUUAUCACAUCCCCUAACACGCGGAAGGUCCCUGGUUCAAAACCUGGUGGGUACA